UGGGGAAUAUUGCACAAUGGAGGGAACUCUGAUGCAGCGACGCCGCGUGAACGAAGAAGGCUUUCGAGUCGUAAAGUUCUUUUAUAUGGGAAGAUAUUGAGGUUACCAUAAGAAAAAGCCCGGGCUACCUAGGUGCCAGCAGCCGCGGUAAUACGUAGGGGGCUAGCGUUGUCCGGAAUCACUGGGCGUAAAGGGUUCGCAGGCGGAAAUGCAAGUCAGGUGUAAAAGGCAGUAGCUUAACUACUGUAAGCAUUUGAAACUGCAUAUCUUGAGAAGAGUAGAGGUAAGUGGAAUUUUUAGUGUAGCGGUGAAAUGCGUAGAUAUUAAAAAGAAUACCGGUGGCGAAGGCGGCUUACUGGGCUCAUUCUGACGCUGAGGAACGAAAGCGUGGGUAGCAAACAGG
rnacentral:rRNA from 1 species